rnacentral:rRNA from 1 species
UACGUAGGGUCCGAGCGUUGUCCGGAAUUAUUGGGCGUAAAGAGCUCGUAGGCGGUCUGUUGCGUCGGUUGUGAAAACCUGGGGCUCAACUCCAGGCCUGCAAUCGAUACGGGCAGACUAGAGUUCGGUAGGGGAGACUGGAAUUCCUGGUGUAGCGGUGAAAUGCGCAGAUAUCAGGAGGAACAUCGGUGGCGAAGGCGGGUCUCUGGACAGUUCCUGACACUGAGGAGCGAAAGCGUGGGGAGCGAACAGG